rnacentral:rRNA from 1 species
AUACAUGCAGUCGAGCGGACAGAAUGGGAGCUUGCUCCCUGAUGUUAGCGGCGGACGGGUGAGUAACACGUGGGUAACCUGCCUGUAAGACUGGGAUAACUCCGGGAAACCGGGGCUAAUACCGGAUGCUUGUUUGAACCGCAUGGUUCAGACAUAAAAGGUGGCUUCGGCUACCACUUACAGAUGGACCCGCGGCGCAUUAGCUAGUUGGUGAGGUAACGGCUCACCAAGGCAACGAUGCGUAGCCGACCUGAGAGGGUGAUCGGCCACACUGGGACUGAGACACGGCCCAGACUCCUACGGGAGGCAGCAGUAGGGAAUCUUCCGCAAUGGACGAAAGUCUGACGGAGCAACGCCGCGUGAGUGAUGAAGGUUUUCGGAUCGUAAAGCUCUGUUGUUAGGGAAGAACAAGUGCCGUUCAAAUAGGGCGGCACCUUGACGGUACCUAACCAGAAAGCCACGGCUAACUACGUGCCAGCAGCCGCGGUAAUACGUAGGUGGCAAGCGUUGUCCGGAAUUAUUGGGCGUAAAGGGCUCGCAGGCGGUUUCUUAAGUCUGAUGUGAAAGCCCCCGGCUCAACCGGGGAGGGUCAUUGGAAACUGGGGAACUUGAGUGCAGAAGAGGAGAGUGGAAUUCCACGUGUAGCGGUGAAAUGCGUAGAGAUGUGGAGGAACACCAGUGGCGAAGGCGACUCUCUGGUCUGUAACUGACGCUGAGGAGCGAAAGCGUGGGGAGCGAACAGGAUUAGAUACCCUGGUAGUCCACGCCGUAAACGAUGAGUGCUAAGUGUUAGGGGGUUUCCGCCCCUUAGUGCUGCAGCUAACGCAUUAAGCACUCCGCCUGGGGAGUACGGUCGCAAGACUGAACCUCAAAGGAAUUGACGGAGGCCCGCACAACGGUGGAGCAUGUGGUUUAAUUCGAAGAACGCGCGAAUAACCUUACC